rnacentral:rRNA from 1 species
AUUGAACGCUAGCGGGAUGCCUUACACAUGCAAGUCGAACGGAGUGGCGAACGGGUGAGUACUGUAUCGGAAUGUGCCCAGUAGCGGGGGAUACCUACGCGAAAGCGUAGAUUAUACCGCAUACUUUUGGAGCGGCCGAUAUCGGAUUAGCUAGUUGGUGGGGUAACGGCUCACCAAGUCGACGAUCCGUAGCUGGUUUGAGAGGACGAUCAGCCACACUGGGACUGAGACACGGCCCAGACUCCUACGGGAGGCAGCAGUGGGGAAUUUUGGACAAUGGGGGAAAGCCUGAUCGAGCCAUCCCGCGUGUGCGAAGAAGGCCUUCGGGUUGUAAAGCUCUUUUGGCAGGGAAGCGGUACCUAAAGAGUAAGCAACGGCUAACUACGUGCCAGCAGCCGCGGUAAUAC